rnacentral:rRNA from 1 species
GUAGGGAAUAUUGGGCAAUGGUCGGAAGACUGACCCAGCCAUGCCGCGUGCAGGAAGACGGCCCUCUGGGUUGUAAACUGCUUUUAUCUGGGAAGAAAAAGGCCAUGCGUGGCAAAUUGCCGGUACCAGAUGAAUAAGCACCGGCUAACUCCGUGCCAGCAGCCGCGGUAAUACGGAGGGUGCGAGCGUUGUCCGGAUUUAUUGGGUUUAAAGGGUGCGUAGGCGGCUGAUUAAGGCAGCGGUGAAAGACUUCGGCUUAACCGGAGCAGUGCCGUUGAUACUGGUUGGCUUGAGUGUCGGAGGGGUACAUGGAAUUGAUGGUGUAGCGGUGAAAUGCAUAGAUACCAUCAGGAACACCGAUAGCGAAGGCAUUGUACUGGCCGACAACUGACGCUGAUGCACGAAAGUGUGGGGAUCGAACAGGAUUAGAUACCCGGGUAGUCC